GGCACGAUGGCUUAGUGGUCAGCACGUUUGCCUCACAUCUUCAGGGUUGGGGGUUCAGUUCCCACUUCUGCCG